ACAACAUUCGGACCGUCGGUCUACCGAGCAAUAUCACCCGCUCGGUGGAAGAUCUUCCAGACUUCAA
rnacentral:pre_miRNA from 1 species